AUACGGAGGGUGCAAGCGUUAUCCGGAAUCACUGGGUUUAAAGGGUGCGUAGGCGGCCUGGUAAGUCAGAGGUGAAAUGCACGAGCUUAACUGGUGAAUUGCCUUUGAAACUAUCAAGCUAGAAUUAUGUUGAGGUCAGCGGAAUGAGUCAUGUAGCGGUGAAAUGCAUAGAUAUGACUUAGAACACCAAUUGCGUAGGCAGCUGGCUGGGCAUUAAUUGACGCUGAGGCACGAAAGCGUGGGGAGCGAACAGGAUUAGAUACCCUAGUAGUCC
rnacentral:rRNA from 1 species